UCCCUGAUGGUCCAGUGGCUAAGACUCCAUGCUUUGAAUGUAGGGGGUCCUGGUUCAAUCCCAGGUCAGGGAG